UUGCCAGACUCCUACGGGAGGCAGCAGUGAGGAAUAUUGGUCAAUGGCCGUAAGGCUGAACCAGCCAAGUAGCGUGAGGGAAGACUGCCCUAUGGGUUGUAAACCUCUUUUAUGCGGGGAUAAAGGUGUCCACGUGUGGAUGUUUGCAGGUACCGCAUGAAUAAGGACCGGCUAAUUCCGUGCCAGCAGCCGCGGUAAUACGGAGGAUGCGAGCGUUAUCCGGAUUUAUUGGGUUUAAAGGGUGCGCAGGCGGAAGAUAAAGUCAGGGGUAAAAUUGAGGGGCUCAACCUCUUCGAGCCGUUGAAACUGGUUUUCUUGAGUGAGCGAGAAGUAUGCGGAAUGCGUGGUGUAGCGGUGAAAUGCAUAGAUAUCACGCAGAACUCCGAUUGCGAAGGCAGCAUACCGGCGCUCAACUGACGCUCAUGCACGAAAGUGUGGGUAUCGAACAGGAUUAGAUACCCCUGUA
rnacentral:rRNA from 1 species